UCAAGAAGAAAAUAAAACGCCAUAUAUUAUGCAUGUAGAAGAGAAUGUGGGAAAGAGAAAUAUUUGAGUACUGGUAAGUUUGGUUUGUUAUAGUGUAACUUUUAUUUGAAUGGUGUUGUUUUGAGUAUAGUUUUAUCUGAAUAUAGUAGAACCGAUUUGAAUACUUGAAUGAAGAGUCAAAACUGUCAAAAAUCGGGGAUAUAUGUUAUUUCGAUUUUGUGUGUGAAAUAUUUAAGAGAUAUAGAGAAACUGGGUAUGAAUUUAACUGAUUUUGUUGCAAGUAAAGUUUUUAAAAGAACAGAGAAAUUGAUGGUAUAAAUGGUAGAAAUUGGACCUGCGGGUAUAAUUAAAACAAAAUCCCUUUAAAAAGGUGGGAAUUAGCAUUUUUCCUAUGAUGGUUGUAUACAAUGGAAUUUCAGUUUAAAAGUUGGAUUUAAGAACCUAAUAUGGGCAGCGGGUGGAAUUUAAAUACACUUCUGUCAUAUUGUGUUAAGUGGCUUCCCUUAUGGUAUACUGGGUACUGGGUAGAUUUCUC
rnacentral:lncRNA from 1 species